GACUCAGGCGACGCCGCGUGAGGGAUGAAGGUCUUCGGAUUGUAAACCCCUUUCGGGAGGGAAGAUGGAGUGGGUAACCACUUGGACGGUACCUCCUAAAUCAGCCACGGCUAACUUCGUGCUAGCAGCCGCGGUAAUA
rnacentral:rRNA from 1 species